rnacentral:rRNA from 1 species
ACUCCUACGGGAGGCAGCAGUGGCGAUUAUUGGUCAAUGGGCGGGAGCCUGAACCAGCCAAGUCGCGUGAAGGAAGAAGGAUCUAUGGUUCGUAAACUUCUUUUGCAGGGGAAUAAAGUGCAAGACGUGUCCUGUUUUGUAUGUACCCUGAGAAUAAGGAUCGGCUAACUCCGUGCCAGCAGCCGCGGUAAUACGGAGGAUCCGAGCGUUAUCCGGAUUUAUUGGGUUUAAAGGGUGCGUAGGUGGUUUGAUAAGUCAGCGGUGAAAGUUUGCAGCUUAACUGUAAAAAUGCCGUUGAAACUGUCGGACUUGAGUGUAAAUGAGGUAGGCGGAAUGCGUGGUGUAGCGGUGAAAUGCAUAGAUAUCACGCAGAACUCCGAUUGCGAAGGCAGCUUACUAAGCUACAACUGACACUGAAGCACGAAAGCGUGGGGAUCAAACAGGAUUAGAUACCCUGGUAGUC